AGUAGAUGAACGGAGUCGGCUCAGUGAGGCCUUACAAGCAGAGAGACAGCUCUAUAGCAGUCUGGUGAAGUUCCAUGCCCAUCCAGAGAGAUUCUGCUGUGUCCCCUCCAGUCCGGGAUGUUGGUAUGAAUUCCCAAGCUCUGGUCCUCCCCAGCUCUGCUUCCUCUACUUCUGGCUCAGAAACGGCCAUAAUCAACAGAACAAAUGGCUUGGGUUUGGAUACUUCUCCAGUAAUGAAGACCCCUCCCAAGCUAGAGGGUGAUGCUACUGAUGGCUCCUUUGCCAGUAAGCAUGGCCGCCAUGUCAUUGGCCACAUUGAUGACUACAGUGCCCUAAGACAGCAGAUUGCGGAGGGCAAGCUGCUGGUCAAAAAGAUAGUGUCUCUUGUGAGAUCAGCGUGCAGCUUCCCUGGCCUUGAAGCCCAAGGCACAGAGGUGCUAGGCAGCAAAGGCAUUCAUGAGCUUCGGAGCAGCACCAGUGCCCUGCACCAUGCCCUAGAGGAGUCGGCUUCCCUCCUCACCAUGUUCUGGAGAGCGGCCCUGCCAAGCACCCACAUCCCUGUGCUGCCUGGCAAAGUGAGAGAAUCGACAGAAAGGGAACUUCUAGAACUGAGAACCAAAGUAUCCAAACAGGAGUGGCUCCUUCAGAGCACAGCUGAGCAUCUGAAGAUCGACAACCAGCAGAAAGAGAGCAUGGAGCAGUUCAUCAUCAGCCAGCGUGAAAUCCCUAAGGGCUCUGCCAUGUACUCCAGCCUUGUGACCCUUGCCUUCCAGGAACCAUGCAAGAAGUGCAGCCACCGGAAGUCCUUAAAACAGCAGGAAAGGUUGGCCUGUCCCCCUUUUGUGCAGCUACCUAUCUGCUGAGGAGCAUCUGGGCCUCAUUCCUCCAAGUCCACUGGAGGGUCCAGAAGAGGGAGUCAGAGUUGUAUCCUGGUGGAGCUGGCAGAAAGGCAGAAAGCCUUUCUGACGGCUAUGGAAUACGAUUAGCCAAGGUCCACUUGGCCCAGCACUAAGAAGAAGAUGCAUAGUUUGCACAGAAGGUUUUGUGAUACUGCCUCUCAACAGCCCCAGCAGCUU